UCUCUCUCUCUCUCUCAUUCACUUCUGAGACCCAAAAUCCCAACUCUCUCUCUUUCUAGCUCUAACUCUCCCUCGCAGACCCAAAAUCCCACCCAAACACUAUUUAUCUUUUAAACCCUCUCUCUCUCUCUCUCUCUCUCUCUCUCUCUCUCUCUCUCUCUCUCUCAGACCCAAAAUCCCACCACCACCAAACCACAUCAACUCAGUGGCAACCCCAAUCCACCUUGUCGGUGCCACCUCAUUUCAUUCCCAAAAACCAAACUCUCUCUCUAUAAGUUGUCUCGAACACUCUCUUUGUGUGUGUGUGUGUUUUUUUUUUUUUUUAAUCUCUGCAUUGGUUUGUUAAUGAAAAUUUUAUAUUAGAUUAUGGGUAUCCCUGUGAUUAGGGUAUUUUUUAUUUUUGGUAUGAGUUGUUAGAUGUGUCCAAAUGCAUUAUUAUUGUCUCGGUUUGUGUUUCAUUACUGACAAUGUAGUGGAAAAUAAAGGAAAAUGGAGAGCUUGAAAUUGAUUUAUUUUUUUUGGUCUUGGUUUGUGUUUGGUUGUUGAGAAAAUGGUAGAAAGGAAAGGAAAAUUAGAGGGAAAUUAGUGGUUCAAAUUUCUUUGCAUGCAUGCACUGUUUAAGAUAAUUUGUCUACACUCUCAUCUUGUGGGGUUGAUUUUUUUCUUUGUGUCUCAGUUUUGGAGUUUUUAAGGUUCUAGAUUGCUCUGUAAAAGUCAGUUCCUUCUUGGUUAAUUUUCACAAAUCGGGCUUUAUUGUAUUUUUUUAAUUAAUUUUAAUGAUGGGUUUUAGUGUAAGAUAAUGUUGUUGAAUUAAGGUUUGGUUGGGCUGAUUUGGGAGUUCGUAGUUUAACAAUAACUAUUCUGUUGCUGUUUGUCUGUGUGUUUUGAUUUUUUUUUUUUUUGGUUGCCAAAUGUAAGAUUGUAUCUGGGUUUCUUUAAAUCUGAACUAUGUUUUAAUUUAGUGUGGUUGAUAUGCUUACUAAUUAAAUAGAAAGUUUUUAGAAUGUAGUUAUUUGUAUUUAGAUACAAUGUACCUUUGGUCUAAAAUUGUCUCAUGGAUUCUGUCAGAAGAGGGAAAAAAAAAUAAUGAAAUAAGAGAAUAAGACAGUUGUGUUUCUAUUUGAUCUGCUGGAUUGUGUGAUAUAAGGGUUUAUACUCUAUUUAACAUCGAUGGCUUACUAGAAAAGGGAGGAAAUGCAUUUUGGAUUCAAGUAUUGUUGUUGUUAAUAAUAAUUAGUUACAUGCAGAACAGUUAUUAUUCAUUCAUAUUACAUUUUUCUGCUUUUGUUUUUGUUUUUGUUUCUUUUUUGUUAUGUUAUGUAAUGUGUUCAACAUUAUAUUUCAUUCAUAUCAACUUGUUUUUUACUUGUCGUUGUGCUUAUAUACUUGUUUUUAUUUUACACUUUGACAGUUGAAAUGGCAAGGCAAAAAUCAAAUUUGUGCACGCCAAGAGCAUAAUUGUGGAAGGGGCUUCUACAAAACAUGUGGAUGAAGAAACGAACCAAGUGGUAGUAGAAGCUUCUAUGCAAGAGUUUAUGCUAGAACUCUCUCUCUCAAAAGCGUGACUGAGUGAGUGAGUGAAACUGUGAAAAGAAGGUAUAUUUUGGAGUGGAGGAGAAUAAGCAUAUAGGAAUGGAAAUGGAAAGAGCGGGUUAAUGGGAUCAUUGAAAGAGAGAAAGCAAAAAGUAACCGUUAGGAGAUGAAGAAGGAAAAGAUGUGAUCAUGAAUGAAGAUUGGUUGGUAGUAACGUUUUUGACAAAAAAGAAAGCAAAUUAUGCAAUUAUUUUUUGGUUGUUUGAAAGAGAAAAGGUGUGUAAUAAAUAUCUGGAGGAGUGAUUAGCUGGUUGUGGGGUAAGACUUUAUUUUGCUCUUUCAAUGUUUCAUUUCAAAGUUUUUGUGUUUC